rnacentral:misc_RNA from 1 species
CUACCCCUCAAGCGCGGCUUGUGUGUUGGGCGCUGUCCCCCCCCUUUUCGGGGGGACAGGCCUGAAAGGCAGUGGCGGCGUCGCGUCCGAUCCUCGAGCGUAUGGGGCUUUGUCACCCGCUCUGUGAGGAUCCGGCCGGGGCCUGUCUCACCCCAAUCUUCUCUAA